AAAAUAUUCAAAAUGGCGGACGGAGGAGCAGCGAGUCAAGAUGAGAGUUCAGCCGCGGCGGCAGCAGCAGCAGGCUGGAGUGCAGUGGUGUAAUUAUGGCUCAGUUCACCCUCAACCUCCUGAGGUCAAGUGAUUCUUCCUCCUCAGCCUCCUGAGUAGCUGGGACUACAGACUCAAGAAUGAACAAUCCGUCAGAAACCAGUAAACCAUCUAUGGAGAGUGGAGAUGGCAACACAGGCACACAAACCAAUGGUCUGGACUUUCAGAAGCAGCCUGUGCCUGUAGGAGGAGCAAUCUCAACAGCCCAGGCGCAGGCUUUCCUUGGACAUCUCCAUCAGGUCCAACUCGCUGGAACAAGUUUACAGGCUGCUGCUCAGUCUUUAAAUGUACAGUCUAAAUCUAAUGAAGAAUCGGGGGAUUCGCAGCAGCCAAGCCAGCCUUCCCAGCAGCCUUCAGUGCAGGCAGCCAUUCCCCAGACCCAGCUUAUGCUAGCUGGAGGACAGAUAACUGGGCUUACUUUGACGCCUGCCCAGCAACAGUUACUACUCCAGCAGGCACAGGCACAGGCACAGCUGCUGGCUGCUGCAG
rnacentral:sRNA from 1 species